rnacentral:lncRNA from 1 species
UCUUAGUGAGGUUAAGUAUCCAGCAUGACUACAGCUGCAAAGCAGUGGAGCCUGGCUUUGAACUUAGUCCUGUCUGAUCCCAACGCCUUACACAAUUCUACCAUCCCUGUUGUUAAUAUGUGACCUAUUUCAAGUCAUCACCUGCUUCAGAAUUUCACUCUUGAGCCAAAGAAAACAAAAACUGCAAUUAGAGAUUUCUCUAACCUUGUUAAAGGAGACUAUGCACAGCAAUCCAUAAACUCAGUAGGUGCAAUUUCAUAGGUCUGAAGGAGGUGUAGGAUGCAUGACACCCAAAGUAAGAUACACAGUGGUGUCAUCGUGGUGGCUCAACCCAGCAAAGAGCCAAGAGUGUUCCAGUGUUCAAAGGAGAAGACAGGUCAGCCGCCUGAAGUACAGAGCAGGGUGGAGAAAUGGGACUAGAAGUACAAGCAGGACAUCUCCAGCUCAGUUGACCUCUUCAUACCAUCACUGACACACUGGU